AGUGAAUUUAAGCAUCAUAGGACAGAAAACCAAAAGACGUGUAUUUGCUUUCCAACAAGACGCCUCAGCGAUCUCUAGUCAACAGAGGCUAUACGGUCAAAUCCAAGAGUGCCCCGCCCCGUUUUCUACGUCAUCAAACAGUCGUCGUUGCGUUGGGACCGUGCAUGAUGAAUGAGAGGGUCAUAGAUGGAGUGGUAAAUCCACCCUUAUUCCCUACAAAAGCACAAGGGAGGGUGGAUUUGCGCAGGGCACGACCCGCUGUCCAUCUGCUGCUUUGUAAUCCGUGGGUGAACUCUCUGGAUUUCACGGGGAGCAGUACAAAGGCCAGCAAAUCUAAGAUACGGUCAAAGGUAAUGGAGGAACAAGUUGGUAGGAAUAAGUGUUGACAGAUAACGCCCUCCUCUGGACAGUCCUCAUCAUCGGUCUCCAGACUGAGAGGUGACCUUGCAGAAGAACAGCAUCAGGCACAGUAUCAUAAUUGGAUUACUUGCUUGUCUGGAAAGGCACAGUAGUAAAAAAUCCUCAUUGUAAAUAUGUGUGUGUGUCAAUGUAAAAAUAAGUACUGUACCAAAUAAUGUAUCAGUGACAACACCACGA